rnacentral:lncRNA from 1 species
CUCCUUCUCUCUACAUCUUUGUGUAAAUCUCUCUCACUUACACUCUCUUUACCACUCUCGGUACACACACAAACACCACAUACAAACACCACUUCACCACCCUUAACCACCUCUUACGCUGUUUGAUAUUGCCGCUGUAAGUACUCAUCCCUAACAUUUUGUUAUUUAUUUAUUUAUUUAUUUUUAUGAUCGAGCCUUGACGAGGUCCUGAAUCAUUUUUGUAUCGUUCACUUCAUGCAGACGAACACACGAGGUAAAUUACCUCAUGUACANGGUUAAUUGAUUUUAGUGUUUGUUACAUUUUACUUAAAAAUGCCCUCAAAGUUUGCUGAUGUUACGAAAUCAACCCCACCCCUUAUACGUCCAUUUCAAAAUUUACCCAAUCUUCCCCUCCACUUCAAAGGUUUCUACAAAUAGGACCCUAAGUCCCAAACUUCAAUUCCAAAAUAAUUCUCAGCCCCCUCCUAAAGAAUUUGUUUACAAAACUAGUCAUAGGUCCCUAAACUUCAUUUAAAAUGUUCAAAACCUACCCUCCUUGGAAAUCUGUUACAAAAACAAGUCCCAAGUCUUAAACCUUUGUCUAUUUUAUUUAUUUUAACCCCUCUAUAGAGAUUUAUUUGCAAAAUAAAUCUUAAAUUCAAACUUAGAAUUUAAAUAAACAAUUUUAGUCCCUUAUUUGGAAAUUAUUAACAACCUUAGUCUAUUUAAUAUAUUUAAAUUCGUCAAUGGGCCCCAUACUUUGGUUAAAUUUCCAAACAACCAUUCACAUAUUAAUUUAUGUUNNNNNNNNNNNNNNNNNNNNNNNNNNNNNNNNNNNNNNNNNNNNNNNNNNNNNNNNNNNNNNNNNNNNNNNNNNNNNNNNNNNNNNNNNNNNNNNNNNNNUUUCGGGACGAAAUUUCCUUUAACGAGGAGGUAAUGUGACAACCCAAAAUUUUGGGCUAUUAUUAUAACCACCAAUCUAUCCAUGAAUCUCUUGUGUAUCCGAAUUACUGAGUUAUAGUGCAUCUAAUGAAAAAUAAACAAUUAUAUUUCAAUUAUUACAUGAUAUCAGAUGAUACCUUACUUCCAAAUGGGUAAACCGUCAACCGAAUCAAACCGCUUAAAUGAAAACAUUAAUGAAUGCGUCUGAAAAACUAAAAUUUUGCAUUAAGCAAUUUUGAGAAAAACAAACAUUAAAAUAUUAUAGUACAUGUUCCUCUGUUUCCGAAAAUAUAAAGAAUGUCCAAAACGGAGUUAUAUGCAAAAUAUACGACAGUUUUAAGAAAACAGAUAGUAAAACACUAUUGUUCUUUAAUCGCGUAAAACCAAAUCGAUCCGUUGAGACACUUACGCUUUGCCGACGGGAUUUCCAAGAGCGUUUUUGGACUCAGGUUAUAGUCUAUUAUUUAAUUUCACACUCGAAAUAAUUUUUACGAAAAUAUUUACGAAAGUUGCGAAAACGGACACCGCGAGUCGUUUUGACGCAAAACUUUAAACGCAAAUUCCCGGAGUUCCGUAACUCCAAAAAUUAAUCUGUUCGGGUUUCUGGAAUCCUUGAAUUACCCUCCUUCAUAAGAAAUUCUCGAAAACGCAAUUCGAUGUCGGGAUCUCGAUUCAUCAAUUUAUAAGUGUUUUGAACAAGUUAUAUGAUUAAACUACUUUGUAGGCCCCACAUAACUUGCAUACAAGGAAAUGGCCAGCUCAUUUCCGCUCUUGCUUCCCCAUUUGAUCAAACCCACGUGACUGAACCCAUAUCUUCACCACCUUACCUUCUUCUUCCUUACUUGCACACUUCUUCUUCAAGGUACAAGGCAUGACCUUAAGGGGCUGUGAGUGCUUCUUAUGCUAUAAAUAAGAGCUCAUAGCAAGCCAUCAAACUCACAAAUCUUCAACCAUCUCCUUCUCUCUACAUCUUUGUGUAAAUCUCUCUCACUAACACUCUCUUUACCACUCUCGGUAUACAUACAAACACCACAUACAAACACCACUUCACCACCCUUAACCACCUCUUAUGCUGUUUGAUACUGUCGCUGUAAGUACUCAUCCCUAACAUUUUGUUAUUUAUUUAUUUAUUUAUUUUUAUGAUCGAGCCUUGACGAGGUCCUGAAUCAUUUUUGUAUCGUUCACUUCAUGCAGACGAACACACGAGGUAAAUUACCUCAUGUACAAUUGAGGUUAAUUGAUUUUAGUGUUUGUUACAUUUUACUUAAAAAUGCCCUCAAAGUUUGCUGAUGUUACGAAAUCAACCCCACCCCUUAUACGUCCAUUUCAAAAUUUACCCAAUCUUCCCCUCCACUUCAAAGGUUUUUACAAAUAGGACCCUAAGUCCCAAACUUCAAUUCCAAAAUAAUUCUCAGCCCCCUCCCAAAGAAUUUGUUUACAAAACUAGUUAUAGGUCCCUAAACUUCAUUUAAAAUGUUCAAAACCUACCCUCCUUAGUAAUCUGUUACAAAAACAAGUCCCAAGUCUCAAACCUUUGUCUAUUUUAUUUAUUUUAACCCCUCUAUAGAGAUUUAUUUGCAAAAUAAAUCUUAAAUUCAAACUUAGAAUUUAAAUAAACAAUUUUAGUCCCUUAUUUGAAAAUUAUUAACAACCUUAGUCUAUUUAAUAUAUUUAAAUUCGUCAAUGGGCCCCAUGCUUUGGUUAAAUUUCCAAACAACCAUUCACAUAUUAAUUUAUGUUAAUAUUUCUAGGAAACUAAAUAAAUCUCGACGAUUCGUCUUCACGGCAAUACAUCUCGCUUUUUCUCGCAACAAUUACUCGACAAUCACACAUUAAGGUGAGUGUUACGGCCCCACUUUUACAUAUUUUCGGGGGGGAAUACAUGUAGUACUUGUAUAUCUAGUAUAUAUCUAUUUUCUAAAUACUUUGUUUAAACAAACAACACUACCGUUUUUAGGCAAUAUAAUUCACACAAAAAUAUUAUUUAGUACGCUACUACUUAUGGUACGUGUACUAAGUAAUAUUUAUCAUACAAGAUACACAACAAAAUAUCAUUGUUUUGUGUAAAUAUUUUACCAGUUUUAGAAAUAAUUGUUUAAACGCUUACAUGUUAAGUAAACAAAAUCGUUUUAAACCUCAAUAUUUUAUAUUUUAUGUUGUUAAGAUAAUACGACUAAUAAAAAUACCAUAUACGUUCCGACAAAAAUUGUGCUAAAACUGUAUAGCCGUUUAUCAACUUGGUAGUCUAAUUAUACCUCAUACAUACAUAGAAACAUAUAAGUUUAUAUAGUUAUACAAGUAUUGUACUCUUCAAUGUGUGCGCUUAUCAAUUAUACUUGUCAAUUACCUGUUUAUCCGUAUCUACGAUUGUUAAGUUCAACCUUGGCAGAUAACUUUAUCCGUAUAUCCGUAUGUCUAUUUAUGACAAAAAUAUAUAGGUUUAUACGUUUAUACAAGUUAUAGAACUUGUAUCUUAGGCUCAUACAUGUGCUUGUGUACACUAUACUAAGCUUUGUCAACUAUUUAAACUAGUAUCGUACACUUUACGGGUAUAUUUAUCAAAUAUACUUGUUGUUUAUCCGUAUCAGCGGUUGUUAAUUUCAACCUUGACAGAUAACUUUAUCCGUAUAUCCGUAUGUUUGUUUAUCCGUAUCUGCGGUUGUGAAGUACAACCUUGGCAGGAAACUUUAUUCGUUACCCGUACAACCAUGGAUUUGGUUGCUUUCAAACACAAUUUUAAGUAUGGAAUUACUUAUGGAACAUAACGUUUUGGCUUCAAAGAUUCAUUUCAAACACAAUUUUAAGUAUGGAAUUACUUAUGGAACAUAACGUUUUGGCUUUAAAGAUUCAUUUCAAACACAAUUUUAAGUAUGAAAUUACUUAUGGAACAUAACGUUUUGGCUUCAAAGAUUCAUUACAAACACAUUUUUAAGUAUGAAAGUACGUAUGAAACAUAACGUUUUGGCUUUCAAAGAUUCAUUACAAACACAAUUUUACGUAUGGGUUUACUUAUACAAAACAUACUUUUUGGCUUUUAAAGACUCAUUGCAAACACUAUUUUAACUUUUGUUAUACAUACAAAGAUAAUACUUUUUAGACUUAUUAAAAGUAUUAUUGCGUUAGCAGAAAACCUGUGACACUCACCAACCUUUGUGUUGACUUUCAAAACUUACAUGUAUUCUUAGGGGAUCAUUAGCCAGCCGUUCAGACAGAAGAUUAGCUGUGGAUU